rnacentral:rRNA from 1 species
AUUGAACGCUGGCGGCGUGCUUAACACAUGCAAGUCGUGCGGUAACAGGCGUAGCAAUACGUGCUGACGAGCGGCGAACGGGUGCGUAAUACAUGGGAAUCUGCCUUUUAGUGGGGAAUAACCCGGCGAAAGCCGGGCUAAUGCCGCAUAAGAUCUUCGGAUGAAAGCGGGGGAUCGUAAGACCUCGCGCUGAUAGAUGAGCCCAUGCCGGAUUAGCAGUUGGUGAGGUAACGGCUCACCAAGGCGACGAUCCGUAGCUGGUCUGAGAGGACGGCCAGCCACACUGGGACUGAGACACGGCCCAGACUCCUACGGGAGGCAGCAGUGGGGAAUAUUGGACAAUGGGGAAACCCUGAUCCAGCGACGCCGCGUGUGUGAAGAAGGCCUGCGGGUUGUAAAGCACUUU